rnacentral:rRNA from 1 species
ACCUUUUGUAUAAUGGGUCAGCGACUUAUAUUCUGUAGCAAGGUUAACCGAAUAGGGGAGCCGGAGGGAAACCGAGUCUUAACCGGGCGUUAAGUUGCAGGGUAUAGACCCGAAACCCGGUGAUCUAGCCAUGGGCAGGUUGAAGGUUGGGUAACACUAACUGGAGGACCGAACCGACUAAUGUUGAAAAAUUAGCGGAUGACCUGUGGCUGGGGGUGAAAGGCCAAUCAAACCGGGAGAUAGCUGGUUCUCCCCGAAAGCUAUUUAGGUAGCGCCUCGUGAAUUCAUCUCCGGGGGUAGAGCACUGUUUCGGCUAGGGGGCCAUCCCGGCUUACCAACCCGAUGCAAACUGCGAAUACCGGAGAAUGUUAUCACGGGAGACACACGGCGGGUGCUAACGUCCGUCGUGAAGAGGGAAACAACCCAGACCGCCAGCUAAGGUCCCAAAGUCAUGGUUAAGUGGGAAACGAUGUGGGAAGGCCCAGACAGCCAGGAUGUUGGCUUAGAAGCAGCCAUCAUUUAAAGAAAGCGUAAUAGCUCACUGGUCGAGUCGGCCUGCGCGGAAGAUGUAACGGGGCUAAACCAUGCACCGAAGCUGCGGCAGCGACACUGUGUGUUGUUGGGUAGGGGAGCGUUCUGUAAGCCUGUGAAGGUGUGUCGUGAGGC